UGAACGUCGUCAGUGAUCAGAGAUGGCCGACCCACCGGCUGUGGACAGUGAGCGUGUGUGGAGGGGAUGUUUUCUGCGUCUACAGUUCGACAACUGGGAACUUUGGAGCAUAUUUUCGGAUGUCCGGAGUAACCGAAUCAGGUGGCGAUCUGUUGGUGACUCUCGUUAGUCGCGAUGUACGACGUAAUCGGUCGAAUCGCGAAACUGCGCACAACGAAACUUCUCGAAUCACGGCGUGAAAUUUGCCACUUCAUUUCGUACGCGUCACACAACGUAACCGAAAGCCGCGAGUGUAUCGGACGAAGGGAAGUGUGGUUGUGUCCCUGCGUGUCUUUCUGUAUUUACUUCCAGCGCAGUAAGUUCCGGGAAUCGGUAAUUGCGUCGCGUUGUUAAUCUGCGAGAUGCGUAACGCCUGGCGUUUCUCGGGCCGAUUCGCGUGUGAUUUGCAAUGUGAGUGUGACGAGCAAGUGUCGGAAAUGACGCACUCGUUCGUCACACUCGGCGUCGGGACAAUAGACAAUGGCGGGUGUGCAUCGUCGAGUGUGUGUAUUAUUUUCAGACUCGUUCGAAGACGAGUUCGAAGGUGUUGUGCGAGUGUUCAACGAAGGACCAGUGUAUCCGUUGGUCUCUCGCGUUAAUCGUGAUGUGCGAUGUAAUCGGUCGGGUCGCAAAACUGCGCAGCGAAGCUUUUCGACUGGCGUAAACUGUCGCGUUGAUUAAUCCGCGGGAUGUGUGACGAGAUUGGCGUUCCUCGAGCCGAUUUGCGUGUGACGAGAGAGCGCGGGGGAAGACGCGGCGUCGGAGCAGCGACGAAAGUAGCGGUGCAUCGUCGGGUGUGUGAAUUAUUUUCAGACAAAUUCGGAGUUCGGUAGUGUUGUGCGAGUGUUUGACGAAGGAUCCCAGUGUAUCUGAGAGGAGGAGGAGGCCUGGGAGGCAUCAGGCGACGGCGGAACAACCCUGAAUCAACGUAGUCUGCGAUGCUGUUUGAUUUCCGCUGCUGCGCAUCGUAUCGUAUCAUCGUAGCUUUGUGGCUGAGUAACCGCUUGUAAGUACUUCGCUCGUUACGCAUCGGUCGGUGAGUCAGUAAUAAUUUUUUUUCAUUAUAUUUGCAUGCUUUUCAAAUGUCCUGCGCAGGAUCAAAGUAUUAUAUUAUCGCGCGAUUGUAUCCGUAUUUUCGCGAGUGAGUGAGUCAAUCUGAGGAAGAAAAGGAAGUCUAGAAAACAACUUUGGGUGAGUAAUAUUUGUAACAUGUACUGAAUGUAUGUAUAACAUAUCCAUACCAAUCGAUGGAUAUCGUAUGUUACAGAUAUUCUUCGAGGUGGAAAGCGACGAGAAGAGAACAUCAUCCAUCGUCGCCGACUUAUAAUAAAAUAAACGAACCGCAGCCGGUUCGUCGCGUCGCGCGUUUUUUUUCCGGGAGUGCCGUUUAAGUAUUGGACUAAUGAACUUUUCAUAACUCCCAUUCGAUAGAAUCCUAAUUCGAGGGCCGGAAAUCGCACCCCCGCUGCUUGGCAGUGAAUAUCCUCACUGGGGCGUUGCGCAUGGUGGGCGUGCGCGCCGCACCGCGACGUUCCAUGCCGAGUGCCCGUGCACGAGGUAAUGCCGGGCCGUAUGUACGACAUGUUCGUGUGCAUGUUGCGCGGCUGUCUGGUUGUGUGAGUUUACACGCUCUUUCUCCGGCGAUCGGUUCGGUCCUAAGCGGUUAGAGUUCGGAUCGGUUGCCUUGGAUUCGCACGUUUCUCUUGCUUUCGUCCACCAUCCUAAGGCUUUCUUAGAUCCUUGAUACCUUUUUUGGAUUCUUUGGAUCUGGGGUUCGAGCUAGGUGAAUGACGUUUACUCUGACUUGGUCAGAACUUGGCCUUGUAGGUUAAGCUUGUGACGAGAGGCUGGCUCUCAUUUCCUGAUUCGUCUAAAAUGCUAGACGUCGGUAAUGAGUACCUUCUUCUCUCGUCCUGCCGGAGUGUCUUAUCGACGCCGCUUGGAUAUAAGAUCCAGUGGGACUGAUUAAGAUGAUCCGUUGGCUGGGCGUAUGAACGAGUCAAUUUUAGACGUGAUUUUUGUGAGACAAGAGGCUUCGGAUUCAAUGCCAUUGAUUUCGUCUUCUUCCGCGUGGGACUUACCCUUGUUCGGGGGCGGGUACGCGUGCGUUCUACUCGUCGACUCGGGGUGCUGAAUUCACGGGAAUCCCUCUGAAUGGGAACUCAUAUCAUGGGUUUUAUUAACCGGAAGUGCCGCAAUAUCGCGCGAAAGCUUUAUAAAUAAUUAGUCCACGCGCGCAAAUUUACUAUAUUAUUCGCGAGUGUUUCGCGUGUGCAACGAAAGGAAGAGGCUUAACUACCUGGAGGACUGAGAGGAGGAGGAGGCCUGGGAGAGGCAUCGGGCCUCAGCGGAGCAACCUUG